AACGAACGCUGGCGGCAGGCUUAACACAUGCAAGUCGAGCGCCCCGCAAGGGGAGCGGCAGACGGGUGAGUAACGCGUGGGAAUCUACCUAGCCCUACGGAAUAACCCAGGGAAACUUGGACUAAUACCGUAUACGUCCUUCGGGAGAAAGAUUUAUCGGAGUUGGAUGAGCCCGCGUUGGAUUAGCUAGUUGGUGGGGUAAUGGCCUACCAAGGCAACGAUCCAUAGCUGGUCUGAGAGGAUGAUCAGCCACAUUGGGACUGAGACACGGCCCAAACUCCUACGGGAGGCAGCAGUGGGGAAUAUUGGACAAUGGGCGCAAGCCUGAUCCAGCCAUGCCGCGUGAGUGAUGAAGACCUUAGGGUUGUAAAGCUCUUUCACCGAUGAAGAUAAUGACGGUAGUCGGAGAAGAAGCCCCGGCUAACUUCGUGCCAGCAGCCGCCGUAAUAC
rnacentral:rRNA from 1 species